GAUGAAGAACGUAGCGAAAUGCGAUAAGUAGUGUGAAUUGCAGAAUUCAGUGAAUCAUCGAAUCUUUGAACGCACAUUGCGCCCCUUGGUAUUCCAUGGGGCAUGCCUGUUCGAGCGUCAUUAUAACCCCUCAAGCUCAGCUUGGUGUUGGGGCCUGCUGCACUGGCAGCCCUUAAAAUCAGUGGCGGCGCCAUCUGGCUCUAAGCGUAGUAAUUCUUCUCGCUAUGGAGUCCUGGUGGAUGCUUGCCAUCAACCCCCAAUUUUUCUAUGGUUGACCUCGGAUCAGGUAGGGAUACCCGCUGAACUUAAGCAUAUCAAUAAGCGGAGGA
rnacentral:misc_RNA from 1 species